rnacentral:rRNA from 1 species
AAAUUGAAGAGUUUGAUCAUGGCUCAGAUUGAACGCUGGCGGCAGGCCUAACACAUGCAAGUCGAACGGUAACAGGAAACAGCUUGCUGUUUCGCUGACGAGUGGCGGACGGGUGAGUAAUGUCUGGGAAACUGCCUGAUGGAGGGGGAUAACUACUGGAAACGGUAGCUAAUACCGCAUAACGUCGCAAGACCAAAGAGGGGGACCUUCGGGCCUCUUGCCAUCGGAUGUGCCCAGAUGGGAUUAGCUAGUAGGUGGGGUAACGGCUCACCUAGGCGACGAUCCCUAGCUGGUCUGAGAGGAUGACCAGCCACACUGGAACUGAGACACGGUCCAGACUCCUACGGGAGGCAGCAGUGGGGAAUAUUGCACAAUGGGCGCAAGCCUGAUGCAGCCAUGCCGCGUGUAUGAAGAAGGCCUUCGGGUUGUAAAGUACUUUCAGCGGGGAGGAAGGGAGUAAAGUUAAUACCUUUGCUCAUUGACGUUACCCGCAGAAGAAGCACCGGCUAACUCCGUGCCAGCAGCCGCGGUAAUACGGAGGGUGCAAGCGUUAAUCGGAAUUACUGGGCGUAAAGCGCACGCAGGCGGUUUGUUAAGUCAGAUGUGAAAUCCCCGGGCUCAACCUGGGAACUGCAUCUGAUACUGGCAAGCUUGAGUCUCGUAGAGGGGGGUAGAAUUCCAGGUGUAGCGGUGAAAUGCGUAGAGAUCUGGAGGAAUACCGGUGGCGAAGGCGGCCCCCUGGACGAAGACUGACGCUCAGGUGCGAAAGCGUGGGGAGCAAACAGGAUUAGAUACCCUGGUAGUCCACGCCGUAAACGAUGUCGACUUGGAGGUUGUGCCCUUGAGGCGUGGCUUCCGGAGCUAACGCGUUAAGUCGACCGCCUGGGGAGUACGGCCGCAAGGUUAAAACUCAAAUGAAUUGACGGGGGCCCGCACAAGCGGUGGAGCAUGUGGUUUAAUUCGAUGCAACGCGAAGAACCUUACCUGGUCUUGACAUCCACAGAACCUUGUAGAGAUACGAGGGUGCCUUCGGGAACUGUGAGACAGGUGCUGCAUGGCUGUCGUCAGCUCGUGUUGUGAAAUGUUGGGUUAAGUCCCGCAACGAGCGCAACCCUUAUCCUUUGUUGCCAGCGGUCCGGCCGGGAACUCAAAGGAGACUGCCAGUGAUAAACUGGAGGAAGGUGGGGAUGACGUCAAGUCAUCAUGGCCCUUACGACCAGGGCUACACACGUGCUACAAUGGCGCAUACAAAGAGAAGCGACCUCGCGAGAGCAAGCGGACCUCAUAAAGUGCGUCGUAGUCCGGAUUGGAGUCUGCAACUCGACUCCAUGAAGUCGGAAUCGCUAGUAAUCGUGGAUCAGAAUGCCACGGUGAAUACGUUCCCGGGCCUUGUACACACCGCCCGUCACACCAUGGGAGUGGGUUGCAAAAGAAGUAGGUAGCUUAACCUUCGGGAGGGCGCUUACCACUUUGUGAUUCAUGACUGGGGUGAAGUCGUAACAAGGUAACCGUAGGGGAACCUGCGGUUGGAUCACCUCCUUACCUUAAAGAAGC